CCAGUCGGCUGGACGGUCGCCGCUCACGCGGAGGAAAGUCCGGGCUCCAUGGAGACACGGUGCCGGAUAACGUCCGGCGGGGGCGACCCUAGGGAAAGUGCCACAGAAAGCAGACCGCCUCGGCCUCGGCCGGGGUGAGGGUGAAAGGGUGCGGUAAGAGCGCACCGCGGACCCGGCAACGGGGACGGCAUGGCAAACCCCACCGGGAGCAAAACCGAAUAGGGGUGGCGCGGGCGGACCGAAAGGCCACGCCCAGGCCCGUCUCUGGGCCGCCACCCGGGUUGGUUGCUUGAGGCGGCGCGCAAGCGCCGUCCCAGAGGAAUGGCCGUCACGUCCGGGGGCGACCCCGGGCCCUACAGAACCCGGCUUACAGGCCGGCUGGCACC
rnacentral:RNase_P_RNA from 1 species